UGAAAGGCCAAUCAAACCGGGAGAUAGCUGGUUCUCCCCGAAAGCUAUUUAGGUAGCGCCUCGUGAAUUCAUCUCCGGGGGUAGAGCACUGUUUCGGCAAGGGGGUCAUCCCGACUUACCAACCCGAUGCAAACUGCGAAUACCGGAGAAUGUUAUCACGGGAGACACACGGCGGGUGCUAACGUCCGUCGUGAAGAGGGAAACAACCCAGACCGCCAGCUAAGGUCCCAAAGUCAUGGUUAAGUGGGAAACGAUGUGGGAAGGCCCAGACAGCCAGGAUGUUGGCUUAGAAGCAGCCAUCAUUUAAAGAAAGCGUAAUAGCUCACUGGUCGAGUCGGCCUGCGCGGAAGAUGUAACGGGGCUAAACCAUG
rnacentral:rRNA from 1 species